UAGGGAAUCUUCGGCAAUGGGGGCAACCCUGACCGAGCAACGCCGCGUGAGUGAAGAAGGUUUUCGGAUCGUAAAGCUCUGUUGUAAGAGAAGAACGUGUGUGAGAGUGGAAAGUUCACACAGUGACGGUAACUUACCAGAAAGGGACGGCUAACUACGUGCCAGCAGCCGCGGUAAUACGUAGGUCCCGAGCGUUGUCCGGAUUUAUUGGGCGUAAAGCGAGCGCAGGCGGUUUAAUAAGUCUGAAGUGAAAGGCAGUGGCUUAACCAUUGUUCGCUUUGGAAACUGUUAAACGUGAGUGCAAAAGGGGAGAGUGGAAUUCCAUGUGUAGCGGUGAAAUGCGUAGAUAUAUGGAGGAACACCGGUGGCGAAAGCGGCUCUCUGGUCUGUAACUGACGCUGAGGCUCGAAAGCGUGGGGAGCAAACAGG
rnacentral:rRNA from 1 species